CCUUAUAAAAUAUUAUAAGAGAUCUAUUACAUUAAUUAUAUAAACAAAACUACGAUAUAAAUCAACGAAAAAUCUCAUAUUUCUUAACAACUUUUUAUUUUAUUUUUAUACACAUACUAAUAUUAAAUAUAAUCAUAUUUCAAAUUAAUAUCUAUCUUUUAACUAUAUGUGAUUAUAUACUUAUCACAAUUAUUAUUUUUCAUUUAAAAAAUAUUUUAAUCGAACCCGUGCAACGCACGGGUUUUUCCCUAGUUGUAAUUAACAUAAAACGUUACAAAGUUAAACACUUUUCAAUAGGAAUGGACCAACAAUAUUUGAUGACUAAUUCAAUGAUAAAUUAAUAAUAUAAUAAUUAACUUUAAAAUAAAUUAUAUAUGAAAAUAUCCAACA
rnacentral:lncRNA from 1 species